rnacentral:lncRNA from 1 species
GAGAGGAGGAUCAGGUGUACGAUGUUUCUUAGAGCAUGCUUGAUCGGGCAACAAGUGAAUCGAUCAGUACGGUUGAUUGAAUGGCAUCUUAGAGCACACUCGCAAAAUAGUAUGGGUGUCCAUAUCGGAGCUACCUUGGCACCAUCAUGAUUUGAUUAUGCCGAAUGCUUACGGUAUUUGUACUUAGGCUUUAUAAUAUAACUAUCUUAACAAAAAUAAUAAUAAUAAUAAGAUUUGGUUAUGCGCAAAAAAAUUUUCCAUGAGAUAUAUAAUUAGAUUUAACUAGUAAUAUGACGGGAAACUUACUUAUCCUUGGUUUGAAAUAGGUUAUGCCUGAUGAGUUAAAGUGCCAUCAUAUUUAAUUAAAUUUCUCAUUGCUUACGUAAUUGGCAAAUGGAUGCUCGCAUUUUCUUGGUGGACGCCUCCGGUUUCUCUUCCUUUUACCCUCCCUUGGUUGCUUGAAAUAAAAAAUAAAAAAUAGAUAUAGGAAGUCUGAAGGAUAUCUUUACUAGAAAUAGGAGAAAUUAAAACAUCAAAUCUUUUCUCUCGAUGGAUGGGCUACAAUUCUAACCUCUCAAGAACCAAUCAUAUGGGAAAAACAAAAAUAUUUCUACAUAACAAAACCAUACCCAAAUCAUUCCCUGCAGCUUUGUAGCUCAACCAAACACAUGGAAAUUUCUCAGUUCUCUCUAUUCUUUGCUGCUGUCGACUUUAAUGCAUGACAGUAGGAAAAAGAGGGAGAAAGUGAGAAGAGAGAGGAGAGAAGAGAAAAAAGAGAGAAAGGGGGAGGAAGAGAGCUAGGCUUCAUACCUAGCUCUUGCUCUUGGCUUUACACCAGGACAGAAAGAAAGAAACUCAAUUUUCAUUCAUCAUAG